UAUCCGGAAUUAUUGGGCGUAAAGGGCUCGUAGGCGGUUCGUCGCGUCCGGUGUGAAAGUCCAUCGCUUAACGGUGGAUCCGCGCCGGGUACGGGCGGGCUUGAGUGCGGUAGGGGAGACUGGAAUUCCCGGUGUAACGGUGGAAUGUGUAGAUAUCGGGAAGAACACCAAUGGCGAAGGCAGGUCUCUGGGCCGUUACUGACGCUGAGGACGAAAGCGUGGGGAGCGAACAGGAUUAGAUACCCUGGUAGUCCACGCCGUAAACGGUGGAUGCUGGAU
rnacentral:rRNA from 1 species